rnacentral:rRNA from 1 species
CCUACGGGAGGCAGCAGUGAGGAAUAUUGGUCAAUGGACGAGAGUCUGAACCAGCCAAGUAGCGUGAAGGAUGACUGCCCUAUGGGUUGUAAACUUCUUUUAUAUGGGAAUAAAAUGUUCCACGUGUGGCAUUUUGUAUGUACCAUAUGAAUAAGGAUCGGCUAACUCCGUGCCAGCAGCCGCGGUAAUACGGAGGAUCCGAGCGUUAUCCGGAUUUAUUGGGUUUAAAGGGCGCGUAGGCGGAUUGUUAAGUCAGUUGUGAAAGUUUGCGGCUCAACCGUAAAAUUGCAGUUGAAACUGGCAGUCUUGAGUACAGUAGAGGUGGGCGGAAUUCGUGGUGUAGCGGUGAAAUGCUUAGAUAUCACGAAGAACUCCGAUUGCGAAGGCAGCUCACUGGACUGCAACUGACACUGAGGCUCGAAAGUGUGGGUAUCAAACAGGAUUAGAUACCCGAGUAGUC